rnacentral:rRNA from 1 species
AUUGAACGCUGGCGGCAGGCCUAACACAUGCAAGUCGAGCGGAUGAAGGGAGCUUGCUCCUGGAUUCAGCGGCGGACGGGUGAGUAAUGCCUAGGAAUCUGCCUGGUAGUGGGGGAUAACGUCCGGAAACGGGCGCUAAUACCGCAUACGUCCUGAGGGAGAAAGUGGGGGAUCUUCGGACCUCACGCUAUCAGAUGAGCCUAGGUCGGAUUAGCUAGUUGGUGGGGUAAAGGCCUACCAAGGCGACGAUCCGUAACUGGUCUGAGAGGAUGAUCAGUCACACGGGAAGGGAGACACGGCCGAGACCCCGGGGGGGGGAGGAGGGGGGGAUUGUGGCAGAAGGGGGGAAGGCUUGACCGAGCGAGGCGGGGUGUGGGAAGAGGGUCUUGGGAUUGAAAAGUAUUUAAAGGGGGGGGAAAGGAAAAAAAUUAAUUCCUUGCUUUUUUUGAGUUUAACAAAAAAAAAACCCCGGGCUACUUUGGGG